CCUCAUCAGUAGAUGGAGACGUAUAGAAAUAGUCAGACUACAUCUACGAAGUGCCAGUAUCAGGCGGCGGCUUCAAAGCCGAAGUGAUGUUUAGAUGUAAAGUGAAAUAUUAGUUGGCGCAUGAGGCAGAUAGUGAGGAAAGUUGAUCCAAUGAUGACGUGGAGUCCGUGGAGGUAGAGGCUCACUAGAAGUGUAAAAACGUA
rnacentral:lncRNA from 1 species